CGCUGGCGGCGUGCCUAAUACAUGCAAGUCGAACGGCUUUUCUAUGGAAGCUUGCUUCCACUGAGAAGAUAGUGGCGAACGGGUGAGUAACACGUGGGUAACCUGCCCAUAAGAGGGGGAUAACAUCCGGAAACGGGUGCUAAUACCGCAUAGUUUUCUUGAUCGCAUGAUUGAGAAAGGAAAGACGGCCUUUGUGCUGUCGCUUAUGGAUGGACCCGCGGCGUAUUAGUUAGUUGGUGAGGUAACGGCUCACCAAGACGAUGAUACGUAGCCGACCUGAGAGGGUGAUCGGCCACAUUGGGACUGAGACACGGCCCAAACUCCUACGGGAGGCAGCAGUAGGGAAUCUUCCGCAAUGGACGAAAGUCUGACGGAGCAACGCCGCGUGAGUGAAGAAGGUUUUCGGAUCGUAAAACUCUGUUGUCAGAGAAGAACAAGUUGGAGAGUAACUGCUCCAGCCUUGACGGUAUCUGACCAGAAAACCACGGCUAACUACGUGCCAGCCGCCGC
rnacentral:rRNA from 1 species